UUUAGCCGCUUCACAACCUUUUCUUUUCUUUUUCUUUACAACACAAUUUACAACGGUGGUAAAGAGUGUGUUGCAGGCGAUCCGUGAAAGCGGUCACCGCACUUUCUUAAGGGAGCUCAAGGAUGAUGGCUUCACGAAAUGCUUCUUCGAUGGAAACCUUCUUGUGAUAUUGCUUCCUAUUGAAGCGACUUGUUUGAUUGCUUCCUCCACCCAUAGUUGAUCGUCUUCUUUUCACACAAUCACUAGUCACAAAGAAGCCUCUCAGUUCAGACAUCGUUCUUUCCCUUACUACAACCAGCUUACUGCCAUAUACGCAAGAGAUCGAACGACUGGGAAAGACGCUCAAACAGCUGCUGAUGUUCUUGAAGAAAUACAUGCUGAGGAUGAACGUACUACAUAUAUGAAUGAAGAGAGAAACACAUUCUAUGACUGCGAAGCUGACGUCUCUUUAGACGACAUGGAUGUUUCGCAUGAUCCGCGAGGAGA